rnacentral:misc_RNA from 1 species
UCUCCGUUGGUGAACCAGCGGAGGGAUCAUUACAGAGUUUUUAACUCCCAAAACCAUGUGAACUUACUAUUGUUGCCUCGGCGGAGCCUACCCUGUAGCUACCCUGUAGGGUGGUUACCCUGUAGCGCCCCGCCGGUGGAUUUUCAAACUCUUGUUAUUUUUUGUAAUCUGAGCGUCUUAUUUUAAAUAAGUCAAAACUAACAACAACGGAUCUCUUGGUUCUGGCAUCGAUGAAGAACGCAGC